ACGGCUCAGUAACACGUGGAUAACCUGCCCUAGGGAAGGGGAUAAUCCCGGGAAACUGGGGAUAAUACCCUAUAGGUUACAGAUGCUGGAAUGCUCUGUAACCCAAAGUUCCGGCGCCCUAGGAUGGAUCUGCGGCCGAUUAGGUUGUUGUUGGGGUAAUGGCCCAACAAGCCAGUAAUCGGUACGGGUUGUGGGAGCAAGAGCCCGGAGUUGGAUUCUGAGACACGAAUCCAGGCCCUACGGGGCGCAGCAGGCGCGAAAACUUUACAAUGCGGGCAACCGUGAUAAGGGAACCUCGAGUGCCUGUAAAUGCAGGCUGUUCAGAUGCCUAAAACACAUCUGGAGAAAGGGCCGGGCAAGACCGGUGCCAGCCGCCGCGGUAAUACCGGCGGCUCGAGUGGUGGCCACUUUUAUUGGGCUUAAGGCGUUCGUAGCUGGGUUGUUAAGUCUCUUGGGAAAUCUGGCGGCUUAACCGUCAGGCGUCUAAGGGAUACUGGCAAUCUUGGAACCGGGAGAGGUGAGGGGUACUUCGGGGGUAGGAGUGAAAUCCUGUAAUCCUCGAGGGACCACCUGUGGCGAAGGCGCCUCACCAGAACGGCUUCGACAGUGAGGGACGAAAGCUGGGGGAGCAAACCGGAUUAGAUACCCGGGUAGUCCCAGCCGUAAACUAUGCGCGUUAGGUGUAUCGGUGACCACGAGUUACCGAGGUGCCGAAGGGAAACCGUGAAACGUGCCGCCUGGGAAGUACGGUCGCAAGGCUGAAACUUAAAGGAAUUGGCGGGGGAG
rnacentral:rRNA from 1 species